rnacentral:lncRNA from 1 species
UAGGACUUAAAAAUAUAUAUGUCAACUUCCGAUAACAAUGAGGACGGCGAUGCUUGUCCGGUCGAUGGUCGUAAUUCUAAAAAAGUUCGGUUUAAGGGAAAAGAAGGGAAUAACGUCGAAAUGCUAGUUGGCCCGAUGUCGUCACCAUCUGUGUCCUGGAAAGAUUUGUUAUUGAGGAAUUUUGCUAAAUCAACGGAAAGAGCAGGGGGAAAAAUAAGGAACAUUUUAACCUCGAAGAAAAAGAUUUCUCUAUGACCAUAGUUAAUGGAAAAUUCGCGAUUGAUUUUUCUGACCGGGUUAAGAAUUACCUGUUGAAAGACAUAGAAACCACCGUUGUGGUUAAACUUCUGGGGCGGAGCAUUGGAUACAUUACUCUUCAGAAUACGGUUUCAAGUUUGUGGCAACCUUCUAAGUCUUUUCCAAUUAUGGAUUGGAAAAUGGCUAUUUUUAUGUAAAAUUUCAAAGUAAAGAGGAUUAUAAGAAAAUACUUAUUCAGGGUCCUUGGACCGUCUUCAAUCAAUAUCUCAUGUGACCUAGAUCUGACUACCAAGACUUCUCGGAUAUUUGUACAAUAAGAAGAUUCUUAAGGAGAUUGGCGGAAUGAUAGGGAGGGUAGCGAAGCUUGAUUUUAACACCGACAAGGGGUUGAGAGGAUAAUUU